rnacentral:rRNA from 1 species
UGCCAGCCGCCGCGGUAAUACGGAGGGGGUUAGCGUUGUUCGGAAUUACUGGGCGUAAAGCGUACGUAGGCGGAUUAAUAAGUUAGAGGUGAAAUCCCAGGGCUCAACCCUGGAACUGCAUCCGAUACUGGCAGACUAGAGUGCGGGAGAGGGAGGUAGAAUUCCACGUGUAGCGGUGAAAUGCGUAGAUAUGUGGAGGAAUACCAGUGGCGAAGGCGGCCUCCUGGCUCGACACUGACACUGAGGUGCGAAAGCGUGGGGAGCAAACAGGAUUAGAUA